rnacentral:lncRNA from 1 species
UACCUUUCCAUGAGCUCACCUCUGUUCCACUCCCAUCUCAUAAAGGGUGUGACAGAUACUUCACAGAAGGCAAGGAGAAAACAGGUCAGAAGUAUGUUAUUGGGGGCUUAGCACUGAUUUUGGUUCUGACAAGCUGGCCACUCAGAGACAGCAGUAGCUAUGUCUGUCUCAGUAUGUGGUAGACCAUGCUGUUGGGCCCAUAUAUAUAUAGCCUCCAUGCCUGCCACUGGGGCUACUUCAUUCACGUACCCACUGUGUCAGUUCUGGGAUGACUAAAAUCAACUGGGUCAUCAUGAGUGAAGUCUUGAGCCACUGAGCCACUACCACCUUGUGCCAAAUACUAUCUGUGCCCUGCCUGCCAACCAGGAUGACAACCCUUCACCUGCCAGGUGGAGAGAGACAGCAGCAGGCUAACUAGUUGUCUGUUAAGAACAUCCAGAGCAGGACCAGAAUCUGGGCCAGGAACUGAGAGACAGAUUGGGACAACGGAACAAAUCUACCAGGGAUGCUCAAUAAAGGAAUGUAGAAGAAUGUUGGGAGAGAAGCAUUCUCACCUAUUUCUGAUCUUAACAGCUGAAAGUGGACUCACAGAGGGCUGUGUUCCAGUGGACAUGUUAUUCAUUCCGUCUAAGCAGAAGGAUUCCAACCUCACUUACUAACUAGCUGAAGAAACGUUUCCCUAGAGAUUUCAUUCCAAAUGGUAGGUUCCUUAAGGCACACCUAAGCUAGCAGGCGAUCUUUUUCUCCAUGUCCAUCUCAUAUAUUCUAGGAAUUAAAGUUCAAAAUCUGUUUUUUAAUGUUUAACAUACCCUGUAAGGAGGAACACUAUUUAAGGACAACAGAUUAUCUUGAUUACUUCUAUGCAAUGUGUAUACUGCUAUUUUUUUUUUAAAUCAAAUAAGUAACUAUCCUUUAAGGGGGAACAACCUACUACAUAAAUAAGAGCUUUCCAGGUAGAAAAAUCAGACAAGUCAAUGAAUUAUAACUUCAUUCCACCCAAGCCUUCAUGUAUAGAUCAGGAAAACACAGUAUUUAGGAACGAAAGAUCUUACUGAGCUUGAACACAGCACUACUUGUAUUAGUGUACCCUAAUGCAUUAAUAAUGACAAGCAAAAAAAUGUUUCUCUUUCCUUUACAUGUCAAAUUAUUUUGAUGUUAUUUUAUUUUAUCUGCUCAACAUUACAUUUCUUUUUGUUCCCUGUAAAAAUUAUGUUUUUAAGAUGGAAAAAGCCAGCAAUGUGGCACAUAUGCUUAUUGUUAUAAAGGAUUUUAGAACACUUAAAGAUUUGAAAAAAGAGAAAAACUUGUCUCAUUAGUUUGGGCCUUGUAAUUAGAAAUCUGUUACACUAUAAAAUGGGCUAAGCUUAAGUUUAUUUGUACGUUACUUAAAAACUUUUUUUCCUUUGUUUGAGACAAGGUUGUGCUCUGUUGCCCGGGCUGGAGUGCAGUGGGGCAGUGAUUCUCCCACCUCAGCCUCCUGAUUAGCUGGGACUACAGGCACAUGCCAUCAUGCCUGGCUAAUUUUUGUAAGGAUGGGGUUUUGCCAUGUUGCCCAGGCUGGUCUCAAACUCCUGGACUCAAGCAAUCCAUCUGCCUCAGCCUCACAAAGUGCUGGGAUUACAGUCAUAAGCCACCAUGCUCAGUCUUGUAUAUUACUUUCUUUAAAUAGAAAAUAACAAGCUGAGAAUCACAAGAGAAAGACUCAAAUGAAAUAAGAGAAAAAGUAUGUUAAAAGAAUUCUAAAUUCUUUCUAGUUUUAUUUAUGAGGUCCUUUGUGUCAAUCACAUUCCCUAGACAAACUUAUUGUUCUCUGAACAUGCUUAGUAUUUUCUUACCUCUGUCUUUGCCCAUGCUAGUCUAUCUUUAUAAUGCCACCCCAAUCCCCUCCCCACAUCGCUACCUUUUGAAAUUCUACCCUUCUUUUAAAAACCCAGCUCAAAUUACACCUUCCCAAUAGUCUCCCCUGAUCUCUUCUCAUACCAGAAAUUCUCCCUCUCCCCAGAAGCCAUAUAGAAGGUAGACAUAAAGCACCAGUACUUGGUGAAAAGUUUUAAGGGAGUGGUAACUUUAUACAGCCAGUACUAUCUACCUCAUAACAGCUUCCGGAAAUAGUUCUGGUAUCUCAAAUUUGACUUAUAGUACAGCACAGACAAGGAUUCAUACCAAUACUAUAUAUUUUGCAAAGGAUUACACCAUCUACAUGUGUAGGUAUACAUACACACAAGACACACACACGUUCAAGAGAUACUGAUGACCUGCAAUACACAAGUGCUUUUUAAGAAAGAGGAACAGAACAAAAUUAAAAACAAACCAACAACAAAAAAGUGAGCCACUGUCCUAAAUUCAAAGGUGUAGUUACUACUUAUUUCUGGGAAACAAAAUCAAAAGUCUAGUGUCUAUAAAAGCAUUUAAAGAAGCCUGGGGCCGAUUGUCGCUUGUCUUAUUUAGGAAGGGUUAGAAGAGUUAUUCACAGGGAAAAGUAACACUGAUUAUCUUAAUUUUGAAUCCAGAGCUGUUCAAGUGGCUUUGUGACCUCCAGUAAACCAAUAAACUAACCGUAUAGAACUAUAACUCAAGUAUCUCUAGUGGAGUAUAUUUAAAGGAACAGAAAGGUCAUAUCUAAUGUUACAGCCCAACACUUUGUGCUUCUAAUAAGAAACUGAAAGCACUGUAAUGAAAUACAAGGCCUCUGAGAGGGUCAGAAAGACUUACCAAUAAAACUCAUCAAGAAACAACUGCAGCUCAAACAGUCCAUGAGAUUCAUGAUCACAAAUUUCAAUAUUUAGUGACCUCUAAAGCUAGACAAGUGUGGCUUAAAUGUGAGCAGCCUGAAUCAUGAUCACACUUAGGGCCAAUGGUGAGAAAUAGAUAGAGACAUAUUUCUAGCCUAGCAACUAAUUUUUUGGCCCCUGGGUAGUUUCUGUGCUUUCUUUCCUCUCAAUCCUCCAAUGGCACAUGCCUUCUUAGCAGUUUCUAUGUUCACCUGCCUUUCCCUUUCAGUGGCAGUGAGUCAUUAACAGCCAAAUCCACAAGGACCCUCUGUUACCUGUUAUCUGGGGGAGCAAGAGAUAAAACAUCUCACUAGUUAUAUCAUCUUUCAAUGUAGCCUUUUAGAUAAUUUCAACAUUUUCUGAGUUAACCAUCUUAAACAUUAUUCCAGAGCUAACAGUGAGGUAGGUUACAAAUAUAAGUACUUUUUUGGGGGUAGAGACAGGGUCUCCCCAUGUUGCCCAGGCUGGUCUCGACCUCCUGAGCUCAAGCAAUCCUUCUGUCUUGGCCUCCCGAAGUGUUGGGAUUAUAGGUGUGAGCCACCAUACCCAGCCCACAUUUCUUUUUUUAAUGUGGCUUUUUGUUUUUGACAAAAUACUUCUCUUCCUUGAGAACCACUGCUUUCAGAUAAAGUGUUUAUAAGUCAAAGAUGCUUAUCUGCAGCCAUUCAUUAUUUCAUUCUAUAGAUUUUAUUAAGUGCCUAUUAGGUGCAAGGCUGUUACAAACUCUAAGUAUACAGCAGCAGAUUCACAGAUAAGAGACCUAUUCUCAUCUAAUGGGGCAGACUGAUAAUAAAUUUAAAACAAGUAACUAACAGUUUCAAAUACUGGCGAAUGCUAUGAAAACAAACCAGGAGAAUAAGCCUGAGUGUGAUUUUGGGGAGAGGGUGCCCCUUUAGAAAGGGAGGCAGGGAAGUCAGGGGAAACUCGGCUGUGACUUGAAGCCAUCUAAAGAAACAGAAGUCUAGGUAGGGGGAAAACAGUGAGUGUUGAGGCAUAAAUGAGUUUGGCAUGUUCAGGAACAGAAAGUCAGUCAGUGCGGCUGGAACACAGUAAGAAUGGAGAGUGUGGCAGCAGACAAGGUAGGAGAUGCAAGCUGCAGUCAGAUCAUGUGGGGUCUUAGAUCCUUUAAAAAAAAAGUUUAGAUUUUAUUCCAGGUACAGUAGAAAGCCACUGAAAGGAGUUAAGCAAGAAAGGGAUUUAUGUUUUUAUAAGAUAACUCUGGCUUUGAUAUGAAUAAAGGAUUACUGCCAUAUAGAUACUCUGUAGAUAUAACUGAUGACAGAAAUUUAGGGUGGUCAAGCAUAGAUUAUUUGCUUUAACUUGAAAUUAAAUAAUAGGAUGGCUAAGAGAACACUGACCUCCAUCCCCUGCCUAAAACAAAAAGAAAGGAAGGAGCCACCUGACCAGAUUUCCACUCUGCUGCAAACUAGACUUUUUAAAAAGUAUUUGUAAGAAACAAUAGUUCUGAAACCAUUCUAUAGUUCGGAGAGUCCUAAGUAUGUUUUUCUUAACUCCCACCUUACCACUUGCAAAUCUAAAAUCAAAAGAGCAGCCUCAACCGUGACACUCUAAAAGAGGCUUUAGUUACAGUAAAGUCUCUGUAAUUUAUAGCUACUAAAUUAUCAUUUCCCUUAGAUAGUUAAUAUAAAGAAACGAAAAGUUAGCUCCUCUGUAUUUGAUGACUAAUGAUGUAAAUACAACUAUGAAAGGAAUGGUUUAACCCGUGAAGUUUUAAAUCUGUAAGAAACACCGAUUGCAAAUCAACCUUUGAUAAAUUGACUGGACUAGUCACCACAGUUUUCUUUUAAGAAUUUCCUGGGACUAGGCAUGGUGGUUCACACCUGUAAUCCCAGAAUUUUGGGAGGCCAAGGAGGGAGGAUCACUUGAGCCCAGGAGUUUGAGUGCAAGACCAGCCUGGGCAACAUAGCGAGACCACAUCUCUACAUGAAAAAAAAGUUUAAAAAAAUUUUCCUUGGUCUGCUAAUUCAAAUUACUGUAAAUAUUGUAUUUCAAGGUAACAAAAUUCUAUAUUUUUAAAAGAUUUAUUGAAAGCCAUUUUUCACUAGUUUAUGGGACCAUCUUUUUUGUCUGAACUAGUUAAGAUUUUGCUUGAUCUUAAAACAAAAGCAAACAUUAUCAGCAUAAGAAAAUGUAACAUAUGACCAUACCUCCACUUUAAUUCUCUUUGGGGAUAAUUCAUCUCUUUCUCCACAUUUUGACCUAAGGGAAAGGGGAGAGAAAAAAAAAAAAAAACUUGAGAAAGUAACUGAUUUUAUUCCAAAGGCAUCUCAGCCUAUAACCUUCCACCAAAACAUAUACCCUGAAACUCCAACACCAGAAAUGACAUAUUCAUAAUGAUCAUUAAAAUAAUGAAGAAAAGAUCUUUCAUCAUUUCCAAGUUAACACUAGGGGAAGGUAUAGAUACAAUUAUACAUUUUAAAAGGCCACUACCUAAGAACUCACCACCUCUGGCUUUGGUAUGAAAGCCACUCAAUAAUUUUUUUUUUUAAAGAUGGGGUCUCACUAUGUUCAACCCAGACUAGCCACAAACUCCUAGGCUCAAGUGAUCCUCCCACCUCAGCCUUCCAAAUUGCUGGGAUUACAGGCGUGAGCCACUGUGCCCAGCCUAGCACUUAAUAAAUAUUUAAUGAUCAUCACAUAAUGAAAAAAAAAUCAAGGAGGAUAUCCCUUUAUGGUUCAGUAGGAAUAAUUUAGGAUAAAAUGACUAAAAUGACCACUUAAGAUGUAUGUUUAUGGCUACAUGAGAUUAAAAUGCAUUUUGUCUAUCUACAGAAACUACAGAUGUAUUUACCCUGACCCAGCAAUUUCUCUGCUGGGAAAACCUAUCCCAGUGGUACCUACAUAUAUAUAUAUAAAAUGAUGCUCCAUCAAUGGUAAGACACAGAAUUAUUUCAUGUACCACUAUGAAAUUAAUUAAACUAUGACAAGCCAUCAACUACAAGUUAUACUUCAAUAUAAAAGAUUUGUUAAAAUGUGAAAAAGUACAUCUCAGAAUCAACAAAACAUAUUAUGUAUGAUGUUAUUUAUUGUGGUUUUACAAUAAAAGACUAGACACAACCCCAGUAGCCAUCAAUAGGGGCUAAAUGAAUCACAGCACAUCCACACAAUUCAAUACCAUGCAGCCGUAAAAAAAUAAUGAGGGCACCUUAGGAGUCCAAGGUGGCUUCUAAAUUAUGUAAAAGUGUUAACAUAUUUUAAGGUACAUUUAACUUUAAAGGAAAGGUGAGCCUAGGCACAGUGGCUCACGCCUGUAAUCCCAGCACUUUGGGAGGCCAAGGUGGGUGGAUUACAAGGUCAAGAGAUCGAGACCAUCCUGGCCAACAUGGUGAAACCUCGUCUCUACUAAAAAUACAAAAAUUAGCUGGGCAUGGUGGUGCACGCCUGUAGUCCCAGCUACUUGGGAGGCUGAGGCAAGAGAAUCGCUUGAACCCAGGAGGUGGAGGUUGCAGUGAACCAAGAUCGAGCUAUUGCACUCCAGCCUGGUGACAGAGCAAGACUCCGUCUCAAAAAAAAAAAAAAAAAAAAAAAAAGGAAAGGUGAAGGUAAAUACUAGAGGAAAUGGCUAAAAAUCGGUGAAGGCAGUUGCCUCUGGAACAUGGAACUGAGAAGCGGGAAGGCAGAGCACAGGAACCGUUGAGUUUCAUUGUUAGCCUUACAUGUUAUACAACUUCUUGAACUGUGGACAUGUAUCACUUUGAUUAAAGAAAAUUAUUUAAAUAAAGUACUCAGAAAGAAAAUAGUGUAUAAUACAAUGAAGAAAAUUAAAAAUCAGCGAAUCAGCUCUUGAUUAUCCAACUCCAAAAAAAAAACCUUAUAAAUAAUCCCAUAGAAUGUUGCUGUAUAUUCUUACCCUGUUCACUUAGUCUACAUGAUUUUACUUGUCAGUUAUAAAUACGUAGGUACUGACGUAGGGCAGAAAAUGAAACUGCUGUGAAUUAGGAAAAAUAAUGGUAAUGAUGGCAAAUGCCUAUAGUGCUGGUUUUCAAACUUAGGAUGCACAAGAAUGCUCUGGGAUGCUUGUGAAAGUUCAGAUUCCAGAGUUCCAUCCCCAAAGAAUGUGAUUGAUUAGGGCUGGAAAGGGUGCUCAGAAUGUGAAUUUUCAACAAAAACUUAGAGUUACUCUAAUGCAGUGGUCAUCUGCAUCCAGAGAAACAGUGGCAGGCACAACACAAUGCGGGCUGGAAAUCGGGGUCUGUGUGGAAUCAAGUGAACAAAAUCAAAUGGUCCUAUCCUGUAGACAAUGCUUAUGGCUCAAGUAAGGAUAGGGUGAAGAAAAAUAUGCUGUGUUUACAUUAAAUUUUGAAACCACCAUUGCUUUUUAACAUCACGUUUUAUUUCAAACUUGUGUUCCAUAACCCAUGUGCUAGUAAUAGAAGUAUCUUUCAAUUUUCCCUUAGAUACUAGUCAAUAGAGUCGUUUUACAUAUUCAGCUAAUCUCAUCAGAUUCAAACACCUUGCAAAAAGGACCAUUCUAUUUCCUCAGAGUUCAACAAGUUCACGUAGUUAGCGGGUGUACAAAUACGUCUAUAAAUGCUGUCUGACUAAAUCCCCUCGUCACACUCAAAACCAAAGUGUGUGUAUGAGAGAAGAAUGUUUAAAACCACUACCAGAACAAUGCUAUAGUAACUAGAGAAUGAUGCCUUUCAAAAGAGAACAGUGAGAAUUAAACAACAAAAAUCACCUUGGCAAUGUUUUCAAAAUCACUGCAUUGUUUAGUUUCAUAGAACAAUAAUCAUACUUCCACUUUUUCAGAAAUGCUUAUAUUCUAUCAAUAGAUGAUGUUUCGAACUCUACUUCUCUCAAGCAAUGCAAAAAUAAUGACGAUUAGUUAAAUACUUACUUGGUGGUUCUGUAAGUAUAUUUAUAGGUGACUUCUCGAGAAAUCUGUCGAGCCAAGGCAAAAAGCUCAUCUCUUCUUGUCAGCAGGGCAUUAUCCUUCACACAGAGUUGAGCAGCCGCUUCAUUAACAGUGAGCUGGAUAUCCAAAACAGAGUUUCAAAAUUAAGAACAUUUUAAUUUCAUCAAAAUGCAAAAGGUUUCACUUAAAAUAUAAGAAUGUUACACCAUUAUAUAAUGGAAUCAUUAUUCAUAAAAAUCAGAAUGGUAUUUAUUCCUAAUUAUUCCUAAUGCCGAAUUUCAGAAGAAAACCAACUCAUCUGCCAUCUCACAGAGCCCAAAUUAAUCAUAAUAGUCAUCUUGAUUUUAUUUAUUUAUAUCCUUUUUUUGGUUAGAUAGGAGAGUUUAUAGACGACAAGGAAAAUAAAAAGUAAAAAAUAUUCUGCAACUCGCUUAUAAAAAAACCCAAAAUAUUAGAAUACAGGAUUUGCUGACACCAUUUCUCUAACCAAAAAUGAAUGUAGAUGGUCUGACAGAUUUUUUAUGAACUGACAUGAAAAUUCUUAAAAAGGAAUCAAGACCAUAUGAUUUUAAACAUUUAUCAAAUCACUUAGUAAAAAACAGAGUUAUCAUAUACUAGGGCUAUAUUGGAAAAUCAAGGUGUUGGACUAAUCUCUAAGAUCCAUCUAAUUCUACCACCCUUUCAUAAUUCAGUAAUUAUUAAAUAUUGCCAAUAUAGAGUUGCUAGUUGACCAAACACUUUGUACUAAAAUUUUGUUACCCUAAACACAAAAUCUGUAAUUGUUUAACAAACUAGAAAUUUUUUCACAUAAUUUUGUCAAUAGAUAUAGGAAACUGUCAAGAGGUAUAUCAGACUUUUUUAAUAUGCAAAAGAUGUACUUAGCCAAGGCAUGAUGAUUAGCAAAAAGAAAAUGGGACGUGAUGGCAGACAGACCUGAGGAGAGUCCUGCUUCAUCAUUUACCAGCUGUGACUCUGGACAUGCAAAACUUUUGAGAGGCUUGGUACUUGGUAUUCUGAGAGGCAAAAUGGGAUAAUAUCACUAUCCCAAAAGGCUCUAACAAGAUGUAGAUGAGGAGACACACCUGGCAUAAGGUUGUGGUUAGUGUUAAUUCUUGUUUUCUUUUCAUAAGAAAUCAGGUACGGCAGUACCCCCUUACCCACAGUUUUGCUGUCUGAGGUUUCAGUUACCUGUGGUCAACUGGGACCCAAAAAUAUUAAAUGAAAAAUUAUACAAAUAAACAAUUCAUAAGUUUUAAACUGUGUGCCAUCUCACUCUGUCUCAUCCAAGUGAUGAAUCAUCCCUUUGUCCAGUGUAUCUACACUGUCUAUACUCCUGGCUGUCAGUCACUUGGUGGCCAUCUCAGUCAACAGAUGGACUCUUCUGAUAUCUCAGUGCUCAUAUUCCAGUUACCCUUAUUUGACUCAACAAUGGCCCCAAAGUGCAAGAGCAGUAAUGCUGGCAUAUUGUUCUAAUUGUCCUACUUUAUUAUUAUUAAUAGUUAUUGUUGUUAAUCUCUUGCUGUGCCUAAUUUAUAAGUUAAACUUUAUCAUAGGUAUGCAUGUAUAGGGACGAACAGUAUAUAUAAGGUUUGGUACCAUUUGCAGUUUCAGGCAUCCAACUGGGGGUCUUGGAAUGUGUCCCUCACAGAUAAGAGGGGACUACUGUAGUCACCCUUUCUCCCUACCCAGGCAUCUCAUCUUUAUUUAGAAUAAUUUUUCUUACUUAAAAUUUUUGAAAACAAAAAUAAAUAGCAUGCAAUCAUUCCAUCCAGAAUGACAAUAUUCUAAUAUACAUUAUUCCAAU